rnacentral:tRNA from 1 species
GUGUCUGUGGAGAAAUAGGUAGCCUCGCUGGUUUGUGGUACCAGUGUCAGAAAUGACAUGCGGGUUCAAAUCCCGUCAGACACCC